CAGAGGUCCCGAGCGUUGUUCGGAUUCACUGGGCGUAAAGGGUGCGUAGGUGGUUGGGCAAGUCUGAUGUGAAAUCUCCGGGCUUAACCCGGAAAUGGCAUUGGAAACUGCCUGGCUAGAGUGUUGGAGGGGGGACUGGAAUUCUCGGUGUAGCAGUGAAAUGCGUAGAUAUCGAGAGGAACACCAGUGGCGAAGGCGAGUCCCUGGACAACGACUGACACUGAGGCACGAAAGCUAGGGGAGCAAACAGGAUUAGAUACCCUGGUAGUCCUAGCCGUAAACGGUGCUUGCUUGCUGUAAAAGGAAUCGACCCCUUUUGUGGCGAAGCCAACGCGAUAAGCAAGCCGCCUGGGAAGUACGGUCGCAAGGUU
rnacentral:rRNA from 1 species